rnacentral:rRNA from 1 species
GACGAACGCUGGCAGCAAGCUUAACACAUGCAAGUCGAACGCCGUAGCAAUACGGAGUGGCAGACGGGUGAGUAACACGUGGGAACGUGCCUUUCGGUUCGGAACAACUGAGGGAAACUUCAGCUAAAACCGGAUACGCCCUUCGGGGGAAAGUUUACGCCGAAAGAUCGGCCCGCGUCAGAUUAGGUAGUUGGCGGGGUAAUGGCCCACCAAGCCGAUGAUCUGUAGCUGUUCUGAGAGGAAGAUCAGCCACACUGGGACUGAGACACGGCCCAGACUCCUACGGGAGGCAGCAGUGGGGAAUAUUGGACAAUGGGCGCAAGCCUGAUCCAGCUAUGCCGCGUGGAUGAAGAAGGCCUUCGGGUUGUAAAGUCCUUUCGGCGGGGAAGAUAAUGACGGUACCCGCAGAAGGAGCCCCGGCUAAUUUCGUGCCAGCAGCCGCUGUAAGAC